rfam:Spinacia oleracea cultivar SynViroflay scaffold12166.con0010.1, whole genome shotgun sequence.
AUAUUAUGAUGCGGGCACGACCGUUGCAAUGCCUUGAAUCUAUCCCAGGCUUCUCUAAGUGACUCUCCAUGUUCUUGAGUGAAUGUAGUCAGCUUAUGCCUUAUUUC